CUACGGGCGGCUCCAGUGGGGAAUAUUGGACAAUGGGGGAAACCCUGAUCCAGCAAUGCCGCGUGUGUGAAGAAGGCCUGCGGGUUGUAAAGCACUUUCGGUUGGGAGGACUGCUUCUAGCACUAAUAUUGUUGGAAGUUGACGUUACCUUCAGAAGAAGCACCGGCUAACUCCGUGCCAGCAGCCGCGGUAAUACGGAGGGUGGAAGCGUUAAUCGGAAUUACUGGGCGUAAAGCGCGCGUAGGCGGCUAGAUCAGUCGGGUGUGAAAGCCCCGGGCUUAACCUGGGAACUGCAUCCGAUACUGUCUAGCUUGAGGACAGGAGAGGAGAGUGGAAUUCCACAUGUAGCGGUGAAAUGCGUAGAUAUGUGGAGGAACACCAAUGGCGAAGGCAGCUCUCUGGCCUGAUACUGACGCUGAGGUGCGAAAGCGUGGGGAGCAAACAGGAUUAGAUACCCUAGUAGUC
rnacentral:rRNA from 1 species